GAUAAUUAGUUUAACCAAAAUAAGUGAUUUCGACUCACUAGAUUAUGAUAACAUUCAUAAUUAUCU
rnacentral:tRNA from 1 species